CCUAGGCCUCACCUCACGAUUGGAACGAGCAGGCAGCAUCGGCUUCAUUCCCGUUCCCCAUUUUCUCUCCCACGACAAACCCUAGCCGCCGGCCACCGGCCGCCGCUGUGACCCGAUGCCCCAUCCCCUGUGAGCCCGUGACGACUGAUGACCACCGCACCGAGGCGCCGCUCACCCUGACCGAUGAAUCCUAGCGCCCAUAGCUGCGCCCAGGACCGGUGAGGCGGUGAGCCGGUGACGACCACGACCAGCGUCCAGGCCGUCAACCGCCGUGCCCCCGUGCGUCGCGCCACGCCGCCAACUCCGACCCUCCUGCGUCGCUCCUCAACCACGACGCCGACCCCGACCAGGCGACCACCAUCUAGGUUGCAGUUCAUCACCACCUCGUCCUCUUCCACGCUGGUCGCCGGCUCGCCGCCUACUGUCCUUGUUCCAUGCUCCACCUCGCAGCUGAAGGUGAGCAAGCUAUCUCAUAUCUCUAUGUGCAUCAAACUCAUUUGUGGUGUUCAUGUUCUGUGAUGUCUAGAUUUUGUUUAGAUGUUCAUGUCCUGUGAUGUACAAAUUCUGUGAUGUUUAUGUUCUACGAUGUCCAGAUUUUGUGAUGUCCAUAUUCUGCGAUGUCCAGGUUUUGUGUUGUACAAACUCAUUUAUGAGUUGUUUGUGGUAGAUGUCCAGAUUUUGCUCAUGUCAAUGUUGCUGCCUGCUUGCAGGUGUUUGCUUGUAUGUGCUGCUGUUGAAAUAAUUGUCUUUUUGUUGGUUUGUAUGUUGAAAUAACGAGUAGCUUUCUCUUUUUUUGUAGAUGCUAUCUAUAGCAGAAUCUGAAAGUCAUGAUAAGGAGUUGAAUGGGAAAGAUGAUGAAGAUAUGAUUCUAGAGGCAGAGGCGGAUGCAGAAGCAACUGCUGCUGCAGAAGCAGGGGACGAAUCAGUCUAUCACCAUAGCAGAUCUCUAACUCCGCACAUAGCAUUUGUCACUUUUAGUCUAUCACCAUAGCUAGCAAAUUAUGAAAUUUGAUUGAAUACUUGACUUGUUGCAGAGUUGAUUGAAGAAUUUGGUGACAAGGUGAAGGGAAAGCGUAAGGGUGUUGUUGCUUCUUCCAUGGCCAAGUCAAACAAGUGUCCAAGUCGACCAACAAAGUGACGUCCAUGUCUACUCAUGGUUGAACUAAAAUCAUGUGGAACGUAUGCUGUUUUAGUUUCAUCUUGUACUUGUGAUUUGUGACUUGAGAAUUGAGAACUGAGAGUGAGACUGUGAGACCUUAAUGUUUGUUGUUUGCCGCUGAAUUGAAAUCAUGUACUGGACUUGGUUUGCUUCAUGUCAAGUGCUAUGUUGUCAAGUACGAAGAGGUGAUGUGUUUGCUGCUUGUCAAUUCCAUGGGCUGAUGUUACUUGAUCUUCUUACUUUUUGCUGUCAAAUAUAAACACGUGUUGUCUCUGUACAAACACAUUUGUAUACACAUAUACCUCUGUACUCUAUGUAGUUUGCAUACAACUGUUACUGGAAGUAAUAUAAAUCUAAGUUCUAGCAAUUAAUUUGGUCUGUUUGGUCGGGACCGAAGACCGAAUAGUAAAGACCGAAGACCGAAUAGUAAAGAACUGAAAAGACCGAAAUUAUUUCGGUCUUUAAUUAUGGAAGACCGAACUUUUGAAAGACCGGACCGAACAAACCGAAAAGACCGAACGCCCGGGAAAAUGUGGACUGAGGGAGUCCUGGACUAAGGGGUCCUCGGGCGUCCGGCCUGUUAACCAUGGGCCGGACUGAUGGGCUGUGAAGAUACGAAGGCCGAAGACUGCACCCCGUGUCCGGAUGAGACUCUCCUUGGCGUGGAAGGCAAGCUUGGCGACCGAAUAUGUAGAUUCCUUUCUUUGUAACCGACCUUGUGUAACCCUAGAUCCUCCCGGUUUCUAUAUAAACCAGAGAGCUUAGUCCGGAUGGAGAUAAACUCAUUACCAUAGUCAUACAUGCUAGACUUCUAGGGUUUAGCCAUUAUGAUCUCGUGGUAGAUCAAAUCUUGUAAUACUCAUAUUCAUCAAGAUCAAUCAAGCAGGAAGUAGGGUAUUACCUCCAUAGAGAGGGCCCGAACCUGGGUAAACAUUGUGUCCCCUGUCUCCUGUUACCAUCGAGCUUAGACGCACAGUUCGGGACCCCCUACCCGAUAUCCGCCGGUUUUCACACCAACAUUGGUGCUUUCAUUGAGAGUUUCACUGUGUCGUCCUCAAAAGGUUCGAUGGCCCCUUCAAUCGUCAACAAUGACGCUGUCCAAGGAGAAACCUUCCUGCCCGGACAGAUCUUCGUGUUCGGCGGCUUCGCGCUGCGGGCCAACUCGUUUGGCCACCUGGAGCAGAUCGAUAGCUACGCCCCUGGCCAUCAGGUCAGGUUUGGGAGCUUGAACUACGUCGCGGACAUCCGUGGAGAUUUGACCUUCGCUGGAUUCGAGACCGCGACAGCCGCUCCUGGUCACCUUGAUGAACAUGACCUAAAUCUAUCGUCAGACCGCAUCCAGGAGAUAGCUCCUGUAACUGCUCUGGCCCUAGAUCCGGAGCACACAGCGCCAUCCAAGGACGGGAGGCUCAACGCCACCACGGAGGCCACAGAUUCCACGGCGUUGGAGCCGAACAUAGACCUAAAGUCACACGACGUCUUUGUCACCGGAACUCCGGACUCGUCUCUGGUCAUAAAUUCCGAGCCAUGUGCAUCCGCGGACGCCGAACUUGAUCGCUUAUCGAUCUUUGAGUUUAGCGCCGCAGACAUCUUCCAGCAUUCGCCCUUGGGCGAUGUGCUAAAUUCGUUAAGAAAUAUGUCCUUGGCGGGGGAUUCACAGCCGAAUUAUGUCUGGUUCGAGCUGGAGGCUGAUGAUGGGGGAGAAUUUCGCUUCCCACCCACCACCCACUUCAUAGCCACUGUCGAAGACUUAACCGACACGCUUGACUAUGACUCCAAAGACAUCGACGGUAUGGACGACGAUGCCGGAGACGAGGAGGCCCAAAACCCGCCGUUCACUGGACGAUGGACGGCCACUUCCUCAUAUGACGUAUACAUGGUAGAUACGCCGAAAAAUAAUAGCGGCGAUGACAAGGAAAACCCAGCAAAGGAGGACCCUCCUAAACACAACCAAAGCGCCGGCGUCAGCGGCGCCGCUCUAAAUCCCGCCGCAGCAGGGACAGCAACACCGGCACAGGAGACGACAACACUCCGGAUGGUGCCGAAGACACAGAAGAACCCGAUGAACAAACUGCCAAACAAGACAAUCGGGAAUCAGGGCAUGUCAGCCCUGACGAACAGGCCAUAGAAGAAGACUCGGAGGACGGUAGUUACCGUCCGCCCUCCGAGGAGGAGGUGAGCCUCGGCAAUGAAGACUUCAUCGUGCCCGAGGAGCCUCUGGAGCAGGAGCGCUUUAAGCUUCAGCUAAUAGCCACUGCGAGGAGCCUGAAAAAGAAGCAGCAGCAGCUUCAAGCUGAUCAAGACCUGCUCAAUGACAGAUGGACCGAUGUCCUGGCAGCAGAGGAAUACGGCCUUAAACGCCCAGCCAAAAGUUACCCGAAGCGCAAAUUGCUACCUCAGUUUGAUGAUGAGGCGCCAGAACCUGCACCAGCAUCACGCAAUACGGUUGAUCGGCCAUCGCGCGGCCGGGAUAAAACGGCAACCCGAGCCGAAAAACAGACUGUUCUACCUCGCCGUAAAGGCAGGGAUAAGACAGCUCGGGGCUAUACAUAUGACCUUCGUCAAGACUUGGACAGUAGAGCAGGACAUACAAGAUCGAUCUACGGAUCGUGAGGACGUGCCUUGACACGCGACGACGGCUACCUAUUUGGACGUGACAAACCUAGUCACGCCCGGGCCGAUAACCAUAGACGGACUCUAUCGGAGCUACGUCGCGACGCGGCUCGAUAUAGAGGCGCCGUGCACCCUCUUUGCUUCACCGAUGAAGUAAUGGACAAUGAAUUCCCCGAAGGGUUCAAACCCGUCAAUAUUGAAUCAUACGACGGAACAACCGAUCCCGCGGUAUGGAUCGAGGAUUUUAUUCUCCACAUUCACAUGGCCCGCGGAGAUGACCUCCAUGCUAUCAAAUACCUCCCACUAAAGCUCAAAGGGCUAGCUCUGCACUGGUUAAACAGCCUGCCUGGAAAUUCCAUCGGCAGCUGGGAGGACUUGCAGGAAGCCUUUCUUGACAACUUCCAAAGAACAUAUGUCCGGCCACCAGAUGCCGAUGACUUAAGUCACAUAGUCCAACAGCCUGGAGAGUCAGCCAGGAAAUUCUGGACUAGAUUCCUAACUAAAAAGACUGUCCGGAUGCUGAAGCCCUAGCGGCCUUUAAACAUAGCAUCCGUGAUGAAUGGCUCGCCCGCCACCUCGGCCAAGAAAAGCCGAAAUCUAUGGCAGCCCUCACGGCACUCACGACCCGCUUUUGCGCGGGUGAGGAUAGUUGGCUGGCUCGUAGCAAAAACACAACCAGCGAGGCAGGCCCCUCUGAGGUCAAGAACAGCAACGGCAAGCUCCGACGCAGCAAACACAAACGCUGAAGUAAUGGCGACAACACCGAUGACACUCCUGUCAACGCCGGAUUCAGCGGCUCCAAGUCCGGUCAGCGAAAAAGGCGUAUAUAAGGAACAAUCAAGGACCAUCCGGCUUGGAUCGCAUACUCGACCGUCCGUGCCAAAUCCAUGGCACCCCAGACAAACCAGCCAACCAUACCAACAGAGAUUGCUGGAUGUUUAAGCAAGCCGGCAAGUUAAAUGCCGAGACCAAGGAAAAGGGAUCGUAGAGCGAGGACGAUGACGAGGAACCCCGGUAGACAAACACAGGGGGACAGAAGAAGUUUCCCCCUCAGGUCAAAACGGUGAACAUGAUAUAUGCUACACACAUCCCCAAAAGGGAGCGCAAGCGCGCACUAAUGGACGUUUAUGCAAUAGAGCCAGUCGCCCCAAAAUUCAACCCAUGGUCAUCGUGCCCGAUCACUUUUGAUCGUCGGGAUCAUCUGACCAGUAUCCGACAUGGCGGAUCAGCCGCACUAGUCCUGGACCCAAUCAUUGAUGGAUUCCACCUAACACGAGUCCUCAUGGACGGUGGCAGCAGCCUCAAUCUGCUCUAUCAGGAUACAGUGCGCAAAAUGGGCAUUAAUCCAUCACAGAUCAAGCCCACAAGGACUACCUUUAAAGGAAACAUACCAUGUGUAGAGGCCCGCUGUACAGGCUCAAUCACACUAGAGGUAGUCUUCAGAUCUCCGGACAACUUCCAAAGCGAGGAAUUAAUCUUCGAUAUCGUCCCCUUUCGCAGCGGCUAUCACGCACUACUUGGACGAACUGCAUUUGCUCGAUUCAAUGCGGUACCUCACUAUGCUUAUCUUAAGCUCAAGAUGCCCGGUCCACGCGGCGUUAUAACGGUCAACGGAAACACGGAACGCUCCCUCCAAACAGAGGAGCACACCGCCACCCUGUUGGAAAUAUGCCCUAGAGGCAAUAAUAAAAUGGUUAUUAUUAUAUUUGCUUGUUCAUGAUAAUUGUCUAUUAUUCAUGGUAUAAUUGUGUUAUCCGGAAAUCGUAAUACAUGUGUGAAUACAUAGACCACAACAUGUCCCUAGUGAGCCUCUAGUUGACUAGCUCGUUGAUCAACAGAUAGUCAUGGUUUCCUGACUAUGGACAUUGGAUGUCAUUGAUAACGGGAUCACAUCAUUAGGAGAAUGAUUUGAUGGACAAGACCCAAUCCUAAGCAUAGCACAAGAUCGUGUAGUUCGUUUGCUAGAGCUUUUCCAAAUGUCAAGUAUCAUUUCCUUAGACCAUGAGAUUGUGCAACUCCCGGAUACCAUAGGAGUGCUUUGGGUGUGCCAAACGUCACAACGUAACUGGGUGGCUAUAAAGGUGCACUACGGGUAUCUCCGAAAGUGUCUGUUGGGUUGGCACGAAUCGAGACUGGGAUUUGUCACUCCGUAUGACGGAGAGGUAUCUCUGGGCCCACUCGGUAAUGCAUCAUCAUAAUGAGCUCAAUGUGACCAAGUGUUUGGUCACGGGAUCAUGCAUUACGGUACGAGUAAAGUGACUUGCCGGUAACGAGAUUGAACAAGGUAUUGGGAUACCGACGAUCGAAUCUCGGGCAAGUAACGUACCGAUUGACAAAGGGAAUUGUAUACGGGAUUGAUUGAAUCCUCGACAUCGUGGUUCAUCCGAUGAGAUCAUCGUGGAACAUGUGAGAGCCAACAUGGGUAUCCAAAUCCCGCUGUUGGUUAUUGACCGGAGAGUCGUCUCGGUCAUGUCUGCAUGUCUCCCGAACCCGUAGGGUCUACACACUUAAGGUUCGGUGACGCUACAGUUGUAGAGAUAUUAGUAUGCGGUUAACCGAAAGUUGUUCGGAGUCCCGGAUGAGAUCCCGGACGUCACGAGGAGUUCCGGAAUGGUCCGGAGGUAAAGAUUAAUAUAUGGGAAGUCCUAUUUUGGCCACCGGAAAAUGUUCGGGAUUUUUCGGUAUUGUACCGGGAAGGUUCUAGAAGGUUCCGAAGUGGGGCCCACCUGCAUGGGGGACCCACAUGAACGUGGGUAGUGGGGGCAAGGCCCCACACCCCUGGUCAAGGCGCACCAAGAUCCCACCUUAGAAGGAAUAAGAUCAUAUCCCGAAGGGAUAAGAUCAAGAUCCCUAAAAAAGGGGGAUAACAAUCGGUGGGGAAGGGAAAUGACGGGAUUUCUUUCCCCCACCCUUGCCAACACCCCAAUAGACUUGGAGGGUAAGAAACCAGCCCCCUCCACCCCUAUAUAUAGUGGGGAGGCGCAUGGGAGCAGCACCCCAAGCCCCUGGCGCCUCCCUCUCCCUCCCGUGACACCUCUCCCUCUCGCUGAGCUUGGCGAAGCCCUGCCGAGAUCCCCGCUGCUUCCACCACCACGCCGUCGCGCUGCUGGAUCUCCAUCAACCUCUCCCUCCCCUUGCUGGAUCAAGAAGGAGGAGAUGUCUUCCCCAACCGUACGUGUGUUGAACGCGGAGGUGCCGUCCGUUCGGCGCUCGGUCAUCGGUGAUUUGGAUCACGACGAGUACGACUCCAUCAACCCCGUUCACUUGAACGCUUUCGCUCGCGAUCUACAAGGGUAUGUAGUUGCACUAUUUUCCCUCUCGUUGCUAGAAGACUCCAUAGAUUGUUCUUGGUGAUGCGUAGAAUUUUUUUUAAUUUCUGCAACGAUCUCCAACAGUGGCAUCAUGAGCUAGGUCUAUGCGUAGUUUCUAUGCACGAGUAGAACACAAAGCAGUUGUGGGCGUCGAUAUUGUCAAUUUACUUGCCGUUACUAGUCUUAUCUUGAUUCGGCGGCAUCGUGGGAUGAAGCGGCCCGGACCGACCUUACACGUACGCUUACGUGAGACAGGUUCCACCGACUGACAUGCACUAGUUGCAUAAGGUGGCUAGCGGGUGUCUGUCUCUCCCACUUUAGUCGGAUCGGAUUUGAUGAAAAGGGUCCUUAUGAAGGGUAAAUAGAAAUUGGCAUAUCACGUUGUGGUUUUACGUAGGUAAGAAACGUUCUUGCUAGAAACCUAUAGAAGCCACGUAAAAACAUGCAACAACAAUUAGAGGACGUCUAACUUCUUUUUGCAGCAUAUGCCUUGUGAUGUGAUAUGGCCAAAAGGAUGUGAUGAAUGAAAUAUAUGUGAUGUAUGAGAUUGAUCAUGUUCUUGUAAUAGGAAUCACGACUUGCAUGUCGAUGAGUAUGACAACCGGCAGGAGCCAUAGGAGUUGUCUUUAUUUUUGUAUGACCUGCGUGUCAUUGAAUAACGCCAUGUAAAUUACUUUACUUUAUUGCUAAACACGUUAGCCAUAGAAGUAGAAGUAAUCGUUGGCGUGACAACUUUAUGAAGACACGAUGAUGGAGAUCAUGGUGUCAUGCCGGUGACGAAGAUGAUCAUGGCGCCCCGAAGAUGGAGAUCAAAGGAGCAAUAUGAUACUGGCCAUAUCAUGUCACUAUUUGAUUGCAUGUGAUGUUUAUCAUAUUUUGCUUCUUAUUUGCUUAGUAUGACGGUAGUAAGUAAGAUGAUCCCUUAUAAUAAUUUCAAGAAAGUGUUCCCCCUAACUGUGCGCCAUUGUGAAAGUCCGUUGUUUCGAAGCACCACGUGAUGAUCGGGUGUGAUAGAUUCUAACGUUCACAUACAACGGGUGUAAGACAGAUUUACACAUGCAAAACAAUUAGGUGGACUUGACGAGCCUAGCAUGUACAGACAUGGCCUCGGAACACAAGAGACCGAAAGGUCGAACAUGAGUCGUAUAGAAGAUACGAUCAACAUGAAGAUGUUCACCGAUGUUGACUAGUCCGUCUCACGUGAUGAUUGGACACGGCCUAGUUGACUCGGAUCAUGUUUCACUUAGAUGACUAGAGGGAUGUCUAUCUGAGUGGGAGUUCAUUGAAUAAUUUGAUUAGAUGAACUUAAUUAUCAUGAACUUAGUCUAAAAUCUUUACAAUAUGUCUUGUAGAUCAAAUGGCCCACGCUAAUGUUGCCCUCAACUUCAACGCGUUCCUAGAGAAAACCAAACUGAAAGAUGAUGGCAGCAACUAUACGGACUGGGUCCGGAACCUGAGGAUCAUCCUCAUUGCUGCCAAGAAAGAUUAUGUCCUAGAAGCACCGCUAGGUGAUGCACCCAUCCCAGAGAACCAAGACGUUACGAACGCUUGGCAGCAGCGUGCUGAUGAUUACUCCCUCGUUCAGUGCGGCAUGCUUUACUGCUUAGAACCGGGGCUCCAAAAGCGUUUUGAGCAACACGGAGCAUAUGAGAUGUUCGAAGAGCUGAAAAUGGUUUUCCAAGCUCAUGCCCGGGUCGAGAGAUAUGAAGUCUCCGACAAGUUCUUCAGUUGUAAGAUGGAGGAAAAUAGUUCUGUCAGUGAGCACAUACUCAAAAUGUCUGGGUUACACAACCGCUUGACUCAGCUGGGAGUUAAUCUCCCGGAUGACGCGGUCAUUGACAGAAUCCUUCAGUCGCUUCCACCGAGCUACAAGAGCUUUGUGAUGAACUUCAAUAUGCAGGGGAUGGAAAAGACCAUUCCUGAGGUAUAUUCAAUGCUGAAAUCAGCAGAGGUGGAGAUCAAAAAGGAACAUCAAGUGUUGAUGGUGAAUAAAACCACUAAGUUCAAGAAAGGCAAGGGUAAAAAGAACUUCAAGAAGGACGGCAAGGGAGUUGCCGCGCCCGGUAAGCCAGUUGCCGGGAAGAAGCCAAAGAAUGGACCCAAGCCUGAGACUGAGUGCUUUUAUUGCAAGGGAAGUGGUCACUGGAAGCGGAACUGCCCCAAGUACUUGGCGGACAAGAAGGCCGGCAACACCAAAGGUAUAUGUGAUAUACAUGUUAUUGAUGUGUACCUUACCAGAACUCGUAGUAGCUCCUGGGUAUUUGAUACCGGUGCGGUUGCUCAUAUUUCUAACUCAAAGCAGGAGCUGCGGAAUAAACGGAGACCGGCAAAGGACGAGGUGAUGAUGCGCGUCGGGAAUGGUUCCAAGGUCGAUGUGAUCGCCGUCGGCACACUACCUCUACAUUUACCUACGGGAUUAGUUUUAAACCUCAAUAAUUGUUAUUUAGUGCCAGCUUUGAGCAUGAACAUUGUAUCAGGAUCUCGUUUAAUUCGAGAUGGCUACUCAUUUAAAUCCGAGAAUAAUGGUUGUUCUAUUUAUAUGAGAGAUAUGUUUUAUGGUCAUGCCCCGCUGGUUAAUGGUUUAUUCUUAAUGAAUCUCGAACGUAGUGUUACACAUAUUCAUAGUGUGAAUACCAAAAGAUGUAAGGUUGAUAAUGAUAGUCCCACAUACUUGUGGCACUGCCGUCUUGGUCACAUUGGUGUCAAACGCAUGAAGAAGCUCCAUGCAGAUGGACUUUUGGAGUCUCUUGAUUACGAAUCAUUUAACACGUGCGAACCAUGCCUCAUGGGUAAGAUGACCAAGACUCCGUUCUCCGGAACAAUGGAGCGAGCAACCAACUUAUUGGAAAUCAUACAUACUGAUGUGUGCGGUCCAAUGAGUGUUGAGGCUCGCGGUGGCUAUCGUUAUGUUCUCACUCUCAUUGAUGACUUGAGUAGAUAUGGGUAUGUCUACCUAAUGAAACACAAGUCUGAGACCUUUGAAAAGUUCAAGGAAUUUCAGAGUGAGGUUGAGAAUCAACGUGACAGGAAAAUAAAGUUCUUACGAUCAGAUCAUGGAGGGGAAUAUUUGAGUCACGAUUUUGGCACACACUUAAGGAAAUGUGGAAUAGUUUCACAACUCACGCCGCCUGGAACACCUCAGCGAAAUGGUGUGUCCGAACGUCGUGAUCGCACUCUAUUGGAUAUGGUGCGAUCUAUGAUGUCUCUUACCGAUCUACCGCUCUCAUUUUGGGCUAUGCUUUAGAGACUGCCGCGUUCACUUUAAAUAGGGCUCCGUCGAAAUCCGUUGAGACGACACCAUAUGAAUUAUGGUUUGGGAAGAAACCUAAGCUAUCGUUUCUAAAAGUUUGGGGAUGCGAUGCUUAUGUCAAGAAACUUCAACCUGAAAAGCUCGAACCCAAGUCGGAAAAAUGCGUCUUCAUAGGAUACCCUAAGGAAACCAUUGGGUAUAGCUUCUACCUCAGAUCCGAAGGCAAGAUCUUUGUUGCCAAGAACGGGUCCUUUCUGGAGAAAGAGUUUCUCUCGAAAGAAGUAAGUGGGAGGAAAGUGGAACUUGAUGAAGUACUACCUCUUGAACCGGAAAGUAGCGCAGCUCAGGAAGAUGUUCCUGUGGUGCCUGCACCGACUAGAGAGGAAGUUAAUGAUGAUGAUGAUCAAGGUACUUCGGAUCAAGCUCCUACUGAACUUCGUAGGUCCACAAGGACACGUUCCGCGCCAGAGUGGUAUGGCAACCCUGUCUUGGAAAUCAUGUUGUUAGACAACGGUGAACCUUCGAACUAUGAAGAAACAAUGGCGGGCCCAGAUUCCGACAAAUGGCUUGAAGCCAUGCAAUCCGAGAUAGGAUCCAUGUAUGAAAACAAAGUCUGGACUUUGACAGACUUGCCCGAUGAUCGGCGAGCGAUAGAAAACAAAUGGAUCUUUAAGAAGAAGACAGACGCGGAUGGUAAUGUUACCAUCUAUAAAGCUCUACUUGUCGCUAAGGGUUAUCGACAAGUUCAAGGGGUUGACUAUGAUGAGACUUUCUCACCCGUAGCGAAGCUGAAGUCCGUCCGAAUCAUGUUAGCAAUUGCCGCAUACUAUGAUUAUGAGAUAUGGCAAAUGGACGUCAAAACGGCAUUCCUUAAUGGCUUUCUUAAGGAAGAAUUGUAUAUGAUGCAGCCGGAAGGUUUUGUCGAUCCUAAGAAUGCUAACAAGGUAUGCAAGCUCCAGCGCUCCAUCUAUGGGCUGGUGCAAGCAUCUCGGAGUUGGAACAUUCGAUUUGAUGAGAUGAUCAAAGCGUUUGGGUUUACACAGACUUAUGGAGAAGCCUGUGUUUACAAGAAAGUGAGUGGGAGCUCUGUAGCAUUUCUCAUAUUAUAUGUGGAUGGCAUACUGUUGAUGGGAAAUGAUAUAGAAUUCUUGGGAAGCAUAAAGGCCUACUUGAACAAGUGUUUUUCAAUGAAGGACCUUGGAGAAGCUGCUUAUAUAUUAGGCAUCAAGAUCUAUAGAGAUAGAUCAAGACGCCUCAUUGGUCUUUCACAAAGUACGUACCUUGACAAGAUAUUGAAGAAGUUCAAUAUGGAUCAGUUCAAGAAGGGGUUCUUGCCUGUAUUGCAAGGUGUGCAAUUGAGCACGGCUCAAUGCCCGACCACGGCAGAAGAUAGAGAAAAGAUGAGUGUCGUCCCCUAUGCCUCGGCCAUAGGGUCUAUUAUGUAUGCCAUGCUGUGUACCAGACCUGAUGUAAACCUUGCCGUAAGUUUGGUAGGAAGGUACCAAAGUAAUCCCGGCAUGGAACACUGGACAGCGGUCAAGAAUAUCCUGAAGUACCUGAAGAGGACUAAGGAUAUGUUUCUCGUUUAUGGAGGUGACGAAGAGCUCGUCGUAAAGGGUUACGUCGAUGCUAGUUUUGACACAGAUCUGGAUGACUCUAAGUCACAAACCGGAUACGUGUAUAUUUUGAAUGGUGGGGCAGUAAGCUGGUGCAGUUGCAAGCAAAGCGUUGUGGCGGGAUCUACAUGUGAAGCGGAAUACAUGGCGGCCUCAGAGGCAGCACAAGAAGCAAUCUGGGUGAAGGAGUUCAUUACCGACCUAGGAGUUAUUCCCAAUGCAUCGGGCCCGAUGACUCUCUUCUGUGACAACACUGGAGCUAUUGCCCUUGCGAAGGAGCCCAGGUUUCAUAGGAAGACCAGGCAUAUCAAGCGUCGCUUCAACUCCAUUCGUGAAAAUGUUCAAAAUGGAGACAUAGAUAUUUGUAAAGUACAUACAGACCUGAAUGUAGCAGAUCCGUUGACUAAACCUCUCCCUAGAGCAAAACAUGAUCAACACCAGAACUCUAUGGGUGUUCGAUUCAUCACAAUGUAACUAGAUUAUUGACUCUAGUGCAAGUGGGAGACUGUUGGAAAUAUGCCCUAGAGGCAAUAAUAAAAUGGUUAUUAUUAUAUUUCCUUGUUCAUGAUAAUUGUCUAUUGUUCAUGGUAUAAUUGUGUUAUCCGGAAAUCGUAAUACAUGUGUGAAUACAUAGACCACAACAUGUCCCUAGUGAGCCUCUAGUUGACUAGCUCGUUGAUCAACAGAUAGUCAUGGUUUCCUGACUAUGGACAUUGGAUGUCAUUGAUAACGGGAUCACAUCAUUAGGAGAACGAUGUGAUGGACAAGACCCAAUCAUAAGCAUAGCACAAGAUCGUGUAGUUCGUUUGCUAGAGCUUUUCCAAAUGUCAAGUUUCAUUUCCUUAGACCAUGAGAUUGUGCAACUCCCGGAUACCAUAGGAGUGCUUUGGGUGUGCCAAACGUCACAACGUAACUGGGUGGCUAUAAAGGUGCACUACGGGUAUCUCCGAAAGUGUCUGUUGGGUUGGCACGAAUCGAGACUGGGAUUUGUCACUCAGUAUGACGGAGAGGUAUCUCUGGGCCCACUCGGUAAUGCAUCAUCAUAAUGAGCUCAAUGUGACCAAGUGUUUGGUCACGGGAUCAUGCAUUACGGUACGAGUAAAGUGACUUGCCGGUAACGAGAUUGAACAAGGUAUUAGGAUACCGACGAUCGAAUCUCGGGCAAGUAACGUACCGAUUGACAAAGGGAAUUGUAUACGGGAUUGAUUGAAUCCUCGACAUCGUGGUUCAUCCGAUGAGAUCAUCGUGGAACAUGUGGGAGCCAACAUGGGUAUCCAGAUCCCGCUGUUGGUUAUUGACCGGAGAGUCAUCUCGGUCAUGUCUGCAUGUCUCCCGAACCCGUAGGGUCUACACACUUAAGGUUCGGUGACGCUAGAGUUGUAGAGAUAUUAGUAUGCGGUUAACCGAAAGUUGUUCGGAGUCCCAGAUGAGAUCCCGGACGUCACGAGGAGUUCCGGAAUGGUCCGGAGGUAAAGAUUAAUAUAUGGGAAGUCCUAUUUUGGCCACCGAAAAAUGUUCGGGAUUUUUUGGUAUUGUACCGGGAAGGUUCUAGAAGGUUCCGAAGUGGGGCCCAUCUGCAUGGGGGGACCCACAUGAACGUGGGUAGUGGGGGCAAGGCCCCACACCCCUGGUCAAGGCGCACCAAGAUCCCACCUUAGAAGGAAUAAGAUCAUAUCCCGAAGGGAUAAGAUCAAGAUCCCUAAAAAAGGGGGAUAACAAUCGGUGGGGAAGGGAAAUGACGGGAUUUCUUUCCCCCACCUUUGCCAACGCCCCAAUGGACUUGGAGGGCAAGAAACCAGCCCCCUCCACCCCUAUAUAUAGUGGGGAGGCGCAUGGGAGCAGCACCCCAAGCCCCUGGCGCCUCCCUCUCCCUCCCGUGACACCUCUCCCUCUCGCUGAGCUUGGCGAAGCCCUGCCGAGAUCCCCGCUGCUUCCACCACCAUGCCGUCGUGCUGCUGGAUCUCCAUCAACCUCUCCCUCCCCUUGCUGGAUCAAGAAGGAGGAGACGUCUUCCCCAACCGUACGUGUGUUGAACGCGGAGGUGCCGUCCGUUCGGCGCUCGGUCAUCGGUGAUUUGGAUCACGACGAGUACGACUCCAUCAACCCCGUUCACUUGAACGCCUCCGCUCGCGAUCUACAAGGGUAUGUAGAUGCACUCUUUUCCCUCUCGUUGCUAGAAGACUCCAUAGAUUGUUCUUGGUGAUGCGUAGAUUUUUUUUUAAUUUCUGCAACGAUCUCCAACACACCCUAGCAGCAGAAGUACAGAGCGGCCUUUUCAAGCAGAACCGUAAUCCGGCUGCCGAGCCCCUGGACACCAUUAAAAGAGUCCAGACUAUGCUGCAACAGGGCAUCUCGGCUCGUCAAGAGCUCGAUUUGCAAUUCGGCCUCCGUCCCAACCCCGAUCAAGUAGUGGCAUUCGUACCACGCAUACAUAAUUACACACUCAAAAUUCCAUGGGCAUCGACGGAGGCACAACUAGUUUGUGAUCCAUAGUUCGGCUCGACUGAUCCCGGACACACGUAUACUUCCAACAUUUCAUUUUUCCUUUUUCAUAUUUUCUUACAUAAGCCUUCUUCGACAGCCGGAUUACUGGCCCUGUCAAAGGAUGAAAUACACCAAGGAAGCAAGGAGCUUUGACGUACAAGGGAGGCCCCAUGUGGCCUCUGCUGACGAUCUCUAUACCUGUUUCACAUACCCGCACGCAGAUCGCUCUUGGUCAUGGCAUAUUAAAUAGCUUUACUCACUUAUUGCAUUACUUGCACAAGUACGCCUCGACAUAUUAAUCAAAUCACAAGGGAAAUUUAUUGGCAGCGUCAGCUUAUUACCUUUUUUUCCCUGCCUUUGUAUUUAUUACUCACCGCACUCGUACACCCUGGUACGUAUUACUUCGCCACAGGCUUCAUGACGCCCCGCAAUACGGCAAGAAAGUCCGAACAUUUUUACAGCAUGGUUCGGCACCCCGAACUUAUAGCAUUAUAUGCAUCGGCUCCGAAUCAUGUCUUUGGUCAAUAGUUGGGUUGCCCGGCUCCUGUGUCUAGGGUAGUAAAGGGAGAACUACUGCGAUUGUGCCCCGGUUCUUCCAGACGAGCACCUCAGUAGAGAAAGCCGAAAAUUGACUGUCAUGAUGCGGCGAGAGCUGGUCAGCUGUUCGAGAGGUUUCAAAUCCUUAGAGAUUUUUUCCGCUUUAUGCGAGGAAUCGGUUUCUAUCCGAUCAGGCGUGUAUAGCGCCCCUGGUUCGGCCUUCCGAAUACCAGGGGCUUCGCCGAAAUUCUCAUUGUCAAACUCCUAUGGCUAAGUGAGGGCGAUAAAAGCCGUAUAGUCUGAUUGCCUUGUUCGUUGCGCUAAACACCUCCUUUAAGGACCAGAAGGUUGAGUAAAGAGUAUUUAGAUUUAUCCCGAACACCCCGUAGUCUCUACAUGGGGGCAGAAGCCGACGACUGGUUAACCCUUAGAUUUCAUAAACGGCCGCACAGGAGGUAAAAUUUUAAGAGUCACAAGCAUUAUAUUACAUAACGACCUUGUUUCAUAUUACAUGACAUGAUAACAUGAAUGUUUUUAUGGGAAUAUAACAUCCUUCGCACAUUGCUCCGCCACAAGGCGGGAUCCCUCCAGGACACUAUCAAAAUAUAGCUCAGGUCGACGGUGCUCCUUGCCCUCAGGCGGUCCCUCGGUCAUUAGCUUCUUGGAAUCCAUCUUCGCCCAGUGCAUCUUGGCGCGGGCAAAGGCCAUCCGUGCACCUUCAAUGCAGACCGACCGCUUCAUGACUUCAAGCCGUGGGCAGGCACUCACAAGCCGCUUCACAAGUCCAAAGUAGCUGCUGAGCAUAGGCUCGGCAGGCCAUAGCUGAACUAUUAGGUCCUUCAUGGCUAGCUCGGUCGCCUUGUGCAGCUCGACCAGCUGUUUCAGCUGGUCGCUGAAGGUGUGACACCCCCGAUUUGACCGUACACUAAUCAUGCACGCAAAUGUGUACGAUCAAGAUCAGGGACUCACGGGAAGAUAUCACAACACAACUCUAAAACAUAAAUAAGUCAUACAAGCAUCAUAAUACAAGCCAGGGGCCUCGAGGGCUCGAAUACAAGUGCUCGAUCACAGACGAGUCAGCGGAAGCAACAAUAUCUGAGUACAGACAUAAGUUAAACAAGUUUGCCUUAAGAAGGCUAGCACAAAAGUAGCAACGAUCGAAAAGGCAAGGCCUCCUGCCUGGGACCUCCUAACUACUCCUCGAAGCCGAACUCCAUGUAGCAUCAUCCUCGGGAUCUCUAGCUCCUGGACUCCAGCCUCUGGUUGCGACAAUCCGGUAUAGAAAAAGGGAAAAGAGGGAGAAAAGCAACCGUGAGUACUCAUCCAAAGUACUCGCAAGCAAGGAGCUACACUACAUAUGCAUGGGUAUAUGUGUAAAGGGCCAUAUCAGUGGACUGAACUGCAGAAUGCCAGAAUAAAAGGGGGAUAGCUAGUCCUUUCGAAGACUACGCUUCUAGCAGCCUCCAUCUUGCAGCAUGUAGAAGAGAGUAGAUUGAAGUCCUCCAAGUAGCAUCGUAUAGCAUAAUCCUACCCGGCAAUCCCCUCCUCGUCGCCCUGUUAGAGAGCGACCACCGGGUUAUAUCUGGCACUUGGAAGGGUGUGUUUUAUUAAGUAUCCAGUUCUAGUUGUCAUAAGGUCAAGGUACAACUCCGGGUCGUCCUUUUACCGAGGGACACGGCUAUUCGAAUAGAUAAACUUCCCUGCAGGGGUGCACCACAUAACCCAACACGCUCGAUCCCAUUUGGCCGGACACACUUUUCUGGGUCAUGCCCGACCUCGUAAGAUCAACGCGUCGCAGCCCUACGUAAGCACAACAGAGCGGUCAGCACGCCGGUCUAAUCCUAAGCGCGCAGGGGUCUGGGCCCACCGCCCUAUGCACACCUGCACGUUGCGAACGCGGCCGCGAGCAGACCUAGCAACCCACACGAUCACGGCGGUUACGUGAAAGCGGUCCAACACGGCGCGCGCCACUCAGUCGCUGACGUCACGAAGGCUUCGGCUGAUACCACGACGCCGGGAUACCCAUAACUACUCCCGCGUAGAUGGUUAGUGCGUAUAGACCAAAUGGCCAGACUCAGAUCAAAUACCAAGAUCUCAUUAAGCGUGUUAAGUAUCCGCGAACGCCGACCAGGGCCAGGCCCACCUCUCUCCUAGGUGGUCUCAACCUGCCCUGUCGCUCCGCCACCAAGUAACAGUCGGGGGCCGUCAGGAACCCAGGCCCACCUCUACCGGGGUGGAGCCACCUGUCCUUUCAGCCCCCUCACCAGCAUCACUUGCGGGUACUCAACGAGCCGACCCGACUUUAGUCACCACAUGUGUCAUGUAUAUAGUAUAUAAGUAUAUACCCGUGAUCACCGCCCAGGUGAUCACGGCCCGAUAGUAUAGCACAGCAGACGGACAAGAAUGUAGGGCCACUGAUGGAAAACUAGCAUCCUAUACUAAGCAGGUAGGAUUGCAGGUAAAGGUAACAACAGUAGUAGCAAGGAUAGGCUAUGCAUCAGGAUAGGAUAUCGGAAAACAGUAACAUGCUACACUACUCUAAUGCAAGCAGUAUAGAGAAGAAUAGGCGAUAUCUGGUGAUCAGGGGGGCUUGCCUGGUUGCUCUGGCAAGUAGGAGGGGUCGUCAACUCCGUAGUCGAACUGGGCAGCAGCAGCGUCGGUCUCGUAGUCUACCGGAGAGAAGAGGGGGGAAGAAACAGUAAAUACAAUGCAAACAUAAGCAUGACGAUGCGUGACAUGAAAAUGAGCAGUGCUAGGUGUGUCCUAACGCGACAGUAGGUGGUACCGGCGAAGGGGGGGAACAGCCGGGAAAGUAUUCCCGAUGUUUUGCGUUUUCGGACAGACGGACCGGAGGGGGAAAGUUGCGAGUUCGAUAUGUUAGGGAGGUGUGGUGGACGAACGGACUGCGUAUCCGGAUUCGUCUCGUCGUUCUGAGCAACUUUCAUGUAGAAAACAUUUUCAUCCGAGUUACGGUUUAAAAGAUAUGAAUUUUCAAAGAUUAUUUGAAUUUCAUGAAUUAUUUAAUUAGCAGAAAAGGAAUAUGACGCCAGCAUGACGUAUGAGUGACGUCAGCAGUCAACAGUCCGGUUGACUGGUCAAAACUGACACAGGGGACCCACCUGUCAUAGACAGUGGGUUAAACAGAGUUCAAACUAAUCUAAAUUUAGUUAGUAAAACUACUGGGCCCACCUGUCAGUGACUGAUCAGGUUUUAACUAAUUAAGUUUAUUUUUAAAAACGUUUGACUAACCUAAUUAGGUGGUGGGGCCUAUAUGUCAGUGGCUGGGGAAUAGUACCCCGCGUUGACCGUGGUCAACGCAGUCAAACAGAGGCGCGGGGGCCCACUGUCAGCGGCACUGAGCGGGCCCCACGCCACGCCAGGUCAGGGCCGGCGCCGGAGGAGCUCCGGCGACCAAAACAUAGGCGGCCCCUCGCCGGAGUUGGCGGGAAUCGCGCUACAAGUGACCAUUUGGCCCGGGGUUUGGCCCUACGGGACGCGCACGUCGCGCCGCGUCAGAUGUGGGCAGUGGCAGGAGCGGAGACGGCCGGAAUCGGGCGGGGCGUCGACGGGCGGCGGCAGCCGGAGUUGGGCGAGCACGGGAUCGACUCUACGGGCGCUAAUGCGAUGGACUGGCGGCACGGGCGGUAUCGGGGCGAUGCACUGAGCACGACCGAGUGCUUGCCCGGCCCUGAAACAAACGGCAGCAGCAGCGACGAUGACCGCAGUGGCGGGAGGUUCGGCAAUGGCGGGGAAACGAAGCUAGGGGCGCGCAGGGAAAACGGGGAGAGAGGGGAGGUGUGCGAGCUCACAGUGGUCGCAGAGGAGGGGUGGCGAGGUCUGGGGCGCUGUGUAGCUCGUGAAUCGACGGCGAGGUUGUGCGACGGCGGACAGGGAAGAAGAUGAAGCAGGCGUCGNNNNNNNNNNNNNNNNNNNNNNNNNNNNNNNNNNNNNNNNNNNNNNNNNNNNNNNNNNNNNNNNNNNNNNNNNNNNNNNNNNNNNNNNNNNNNNNNNNNNNNNNNNNNNNNNNNNNNNNNNNNNNNNNNNNNNNNNNNNNNNNNNNNNNNNNNNNNNNNNNNNNNNNNNNNNNNNNNNNNNNNNNNNNNNNNNNNNNNNNNNNNNNNNNNNNNNNNNNNNNNNNNNNNNNNNNNNNNNNNNNNNNNNNNNNNNNNNNNNNNNNNNNNNNNNNNNNNNNNNNNNNNNNNNNNNNNNNNNNNNNNNNNNNNNNNNNNNNNNNNNNNAGGCCGGUGCAGCUGGAGGCGGCCGGGGGGGCGGUGGUUCGCGUUGGCGAGCUCCGGCUUGGGCGUUCGGCGAGCUGGGAGGAGCAGGGAGAGUGGAAGAGAGCGAGGCAGAUCUGGACGAGGUGAGAGGGGGGUAUCGGGCGGCUAGGGUUCCAGGGGAAGGAGAGUGGGAGCCGGGGGUUCUUAUCCACUCGCCGGCGCCAGCGAGCUGGUCCGGCGGGGCUCCUCCCCUGUAGCGACGUGCCUGAGGAACAGGACGAGCGACCGGGUGGGGGUGGGCCACUGGGCUGAGCUAGCUGGGCCGGUUCGGCUGGCUAGGCCCAGGGGGCAGGGGUCUUCCCCCUUUUUUUUGCCUUUCUCUUUUUUUUAAAACCUUUUAUUAUUUUCUAUUUUUUUGUUUUCCUUUUUGUUACUAUUUAUGUUAGUUUUAUAAAUUAUAAAAUUAGUUCCUAAAAUAGUAUUACUACUUAUUCUAAUGCCACAAUAACUUGGGCACCCAAACAAAUUAGUUUAACAUUUUAUAUAUUAUAAAAGGAAUUUAAUUAUUGGUUUUAGCUAUUAUUUAUUUACUUUCGAGCAUUCAGUUAUUUUAUAAAAGUGUGGUUUCUCCCCCAUUAUUAUCUAUGCAAUAUUUGGUUCACUCCGAACAUUUUAGUUUUAAUAUUUGAAAACUUUUAUUGUUUGCUUGAUUUUGAACUUUGAAUUUUGGACCGGUUUUGAUCUAACGAUAGAUUAGCAACAGUAACGGAGGUAACAUGGCACCAUUAGCGGAGUUUUACUGUAGCUUGAUUAUCCGGGCGUCACAGAAGGGCACCGGAUGUUCUGGUCCGAGGUAUUGAGACCAGAAUAGCUUCUCCGUAGAACUCCCUUCUUCGGCUCGAUAGAACUCGACAGCAUCCGAUACGUGCUACCUCUUGAGCACUGCGUUGGUUUUCCCUUGAAGAGGAAAGGGUGAUGCAGCAAAGUAGCGUAAGUAUUUCCCUUAGUUUUUGAGAACCAAGGUAUCAAUCCAGUAGGAGGCUACGCGCGAGUCCCUCGCACCUACACAAACAAAUAAAUCCGCGCAACCAACGCGAUAAGGGGUUGUCAAUCCCUACACGGUCACUUACGAGAGUGAGAUCUCAUAGAUAUGAUAGGAUAAUAUUUUUGGUAUUUUUAUGAUAAAGAUGCAAAGUAAAAUAAAAGCAACGGAAAUAACUAAGUAUUGGAAGAUUAAUAUGAUGGAAAAUAGACUUGGGGGCCAUGGGUUUCACUAGUGGCUUAUCUCAAGAGCAUAAGUAUUUUACGGUGGGUGAACAAAUCUCUGUUGAGCAAUUGACAGAAUUGAGCAUAGUUAUGAGAAUAUCUAGGUAUGAUCAUGUAUAUAGGCAUCACGUCCGAGACAAGUAGACCGACUCCUGCCUGCAUCUACUACUAUUACUCCACACAUCGACCUCUAUCCAGCAUGCAUCUAGAGUAUUAAGUUCAUAAGAACAGAGUAACGCUUUAAGCAAGAUGACAUGAUGUAGAGGGAUAAAUUCAUGCAAUAUGAUAAAACCCCCAUCUUGUUAUCCUCGAUGGCAACAAUACAAUACGUGCCUUGCUGCCCCUACUGUCACUAGGAAAGGACACCGCAAGAUUGAACCCAAAGCUAAGCACUUCUGCCAUUGCAAGAAAGAUCAAUCUAGUAGGCCAAACCAAACUGAUAAUUCGAAGAGACUUGCAAAGAUAACCAAUCAUACAUAAAAGAAUUCAGAGAAGAUUCAAAUAUUGUUCAUAGAUAAACUUGAUCAUAAACCCACAAUUCAUCGGUCUCAACAAACACACCGCAAAAGAAGAUUACAUCGAAUAGAUCUCCACGAGAGAGGGGGAGAACAUUGUAUUGAGAUCCAAAAAGAGAGAAGAAGCCAUUUAGCUAAUAACUAUGGACCCGAAGGUCUGAGAUAAACUACUCACACUUCAUCGGAGAGGCUAUGGUGUUGAUGUAGAAGCCCUCCGUGAUUGAUGCCCCCUCCGGCGGAGCUCCGGAACAGGCCCCAAGAUAGGAUCUCGUGGGUACAGAAGGUUGCGGUGGUGGAAUUAGGUUUUUGGCUCCGUAUCUGAUCGUUUGAGGGUACGUAGGUAUAUAUAGGAGGAAGGAGUAUGUCGGUGGAGCAACGUGGGGCCCACGAGGGUGGAGGGCGCGCCCAGGGGGUAGGCGCCCCCUACCUCGUGGCUUCCUGGUAGCUUUCUUGACGUAGGGUCCAAGUCCUCUGGAUCAUGUUCGUUCCGAAAAUCACGUUCCCGAAGGUUUCAUUCCGUUUGGACUCCGUUUGAUAUUCUUUUUCUGCGAAACUCUGAAAUAGGCAAAAAACAGCAAUUCUGGGCUGGGCCUCAGGUUAAUAGGUUAGUUCCAAAAAUAAUAAAAGUGAAUAAUAAAGCCCAAUAAUGUCCAAAACAGAAGAUAAUAUAGCAUGGAGCAAUAAAAAAUUAUAGAUACGUUGGAGACGUAUCAAGCAUCCCCAAGCUUAAUUCCUGCUUGUCCUCGAGUAGGUAAAUGAUAAAAACAGAAUUUUUGAUGUGGAAUGCUACAUAAUCCAUCAAAUCCAUCAAAUCUUUUACCCAAAACUUGAAAACUUGAAAACUUGAAAACUAAUACGUUGGAGACGUAUCAAGCAUCCCCAAGCUUAGGCUCUUGCCACUCCUUGUUACAUAAUCCAUCAAAUCUUUUACCCAAAACUUGAAAACUUCACAACACAAAACUUAGCAGAAAAUCUCGUGAGCUCCGUUAGCGAAAGAAAACAAAAGAUCACUUCAAGGUACUGUAAUGAACUCAUUAUUUAUUUAUAUUGGUGUUAAACCUACUGUAUUCCAACUUCUCUAUGGUUUAUAAACUAUUUUACUAGCCAUAGAUUCAUCAAAAUAAGCAAACAACACAUGAAAAACAGAAUCUGUCAAAAACAGAACAGUCUGUACUAAUCUGUAACUAAUGCAAACUUCUGGAACUCCAAAAAUUCAGCAAAAAUAGGAAUACCUAGACAAUUUGUUUAUUGAUCAGCAGCAAUUAGAAUCAAUAUUUUAUCACGUUCUGGUGAUUUUUAACAAUUGUUUUUGUGAACAGAAAGUUUCUGGAAUUUACAGCAAGAUCAAAUAACUAUCAUCCAAGAAGAUCCUAUAGGUUUAACUUGGCACAAACACUAAUUAAAACAUAAAAACAAAUCUAACCAGAGGCUAGAACAAAUAUUUAUUCCUAAACAGAAGCAAAAAGCAAAAAACUAAAAAUAAAAUUGGGUUGCCUCUCAACAAGCGCUAUCGUUUAACGCCCCUAGCUAGGCAUAGAUAAUUUUAAUGAUGCUCGCAUGAGAGACAAGAAUUGAAGCACAAAGAGAGCAUCAUGAAACACGUGACAAACACAUCUAAGUCUAACAUACUUCCUAUGCAUAGGCAUCUUAUAGGCAAACAAAUUAUCUUAGCAAGCAAAAACUAGCAUAUGCAAGGAAGCGGAAAGAAACAAUAGCAAUCUCCACAUAACGAGAGGUAAUUUAUUAUCAUGAAAAUUUCUACGACCAUAUUUUCCUCUCUCAUAAUAAUUACAUGUGGGAUCAUAAGAAAAUUCAACAAAAUAGCUAUCACAUAAAAUAUUUUCAACGCGAUCCACAUGCAUGCAAAGUUGACACUCUUCCGAAAUAGUGGGAUUAACAUUAACUAAAGUCAUGACCUCUCCAAACCCACUUUUAUAAAAAAAAAUCAUAAGAUUGAAUAUUCUCCAAAUAUGUGGGAUAUAAAGUUGACACUCUUCCAAACCCACUUUCAAUAUUAUUGCAAACAAUAUUAUCAAUCUCAUAUUCAUCAUGGGGAUUAAAUAAAUUUUCAAGAUCAUAAGAAGAAUCACCCCAAUCAUGAUCAUUGCAAUAAGUAGUAGACAUUGCAAAACUAGCAUCCCCAAGCUUAGGGUUUUGCAUAUUAUUAGCACAACUGACAUCAAGAGAAUUUAUAGUAAAAUCAUUGAAAUCAUGCUUUUCAUCGAGGGAACUAUCAAGCAUGGGUGCAAUAGCAACAAUCUCAUUUUCAACAUAAGGGACUAUAGCAAAUUCGUCUUCAUAAAUAUUGGCAUCAUGGCCACAAGAAUAGCAAGCAUCAUGUUCAUCAAGGGAUAUUUCAACCAAAUCAUCGGAAUCAUCAUUAUCUAUAGAUUCAUGCUUAUCAUUAUUUUCUUCCAAAGCAACAGUCAUUCUUUCAAUAAAUUCUUGGACAUAGACAUUAUGAGCAAAGUUUUCAUUGCAAUAUUUAAGUAUGACGGAAUUUUCAGAUUUGUUGAGAGUAAAAUCAUACUUUUCAAUCAAAGAAGCAACUUCAUGAGCACCCUUAAAAACGACAAAUUCUUCAAUUUGUUCGAUAUCAUAGUAGCUAUAAACACCCUUUGCAUAAGAAGAUAAGAUUUCAUUAUCAUUGAACUCACAUAGGUAGGGAAGGUGUUUUUUAGGGUUCUUAGAGCAACAAGUAAAAUCACAAAUUUCACAAAGAUUCCAAGCAUAACAUAGCAAACUAUUUAUAUGAUACCAUAAGCGCUUCCCUUUUUUAGACAAACGAUGACGCACAAAAUGAGCAUGCUCAUCUAAAGAUUUCCCAUCAACUAGGCUAGUUGGGGUUUCAGCACGAGCACAUAAGGAUCGAAGAUGAUCCAAGUAGAACACUUUAAGUGGAUCCAUAUCAAUAGAUUUUCAGCAAGCGAAGAUGCAAGCAUGUAGAAGGCACAAGGAAACACAAACAAAGAUACAUACGGGAAGAAGGCGAACGAAAAAGAGAGGGCGACAAAACGGCAAGGGUGAAGUGGGGGAGAGGAAAACGAGAGGCAAAUGGCAAAUAAUGUAAUGCGAGAGAUAAGGGUUUGUGAUGGGUACUUGGUAUGUUGACUUUUGCGUAGACUCCCCGGCAACGGUGCCAGAAAUCCUUCUUGCUACCUCUUGAGCACUGCGUUGGUUUUCCCUUGAAGAGGAAAGGGUGAUGCAGCAAAGUAGCGUAAGUAUUUCCCUCAGUUUUUGAGAACCAAGGUAUCAAUCCAGUAGGAGCUACGCGCGAGUCCCUCGCACCUACACAAACAAAUAAAUCCUCGCAACCAACGCGAUAAGGGGUUGUCAAUCCCUACACGGUCACUUACGAGAGUGAGAUCUCAUAGAUAUGAUAGGAUAAUAUUUUUGGUAUUUUUAUGAUAAAGAUGCAAAGUAAAAUAAAAGCAACGGAAAUAACUAAGUAUUGGAAGAUUAAUAUGAUGGAAAUUAGACCCGGGGGCCAUAGGUUUCACUAGUGGCUUCUCUAAAGAGCAUAAGUAUUUUACGGUGGGUGAACAAAUUACUGUUGAGCAAUUGACAGAAUUGAGCAUAGUUAUGAGAAUAUCUAGGUAUGAUCAUGUAUAUAGGCAUCACGUCCGAGACAAGUAGACCGACUCCUGCCUACAUCUACUACUAUUACUCCACACAUCGACCGCUAUCCAGCAUGCAUCUAGAGUAUUAAGUUCAUAAGAACAGAGUAACACUUUAAGCAAGAUGCCAUGAUGUAGAGGGAUAAAUUCAUGCAAUAUGAUAAAAACCCCAUCUUGUUAUCGUCUGUGGCAACAAUACAAUACGUGCCUUGCUGCCCCUACUGUCACUGGGAAAGGACACCACAAGAUUGAACCCAAAGCUAAGCACUUCUCCCAUUGCAAGAAAGAUCAAUCUAGUAGGCCAAACCAAACUGAUAAUUUGAAGAGACUUGCAAAGAUAACCAAUCAUACAUAAAAGAAUUCAGAGAAGAUUCAAAUAUUGUUCAUAGAUAAACUUGAUCAUAAACCCACAAUUCAUCGGCCUCAACAAACACACUGCAAAAGAAGAUUACAUCGAAUAGAUCUCCACGGGAGAGGGGGAGAACAUUGUAUUGAGAUCCAAAAAGAGAGAAGAAGCCAUCUAGCUAAUAACUAUGGACCCGAAGGUCUGAGAUAAACUACUCACACUUCAUCGGAGAGGCUAUGGUGUUGAUUUAGAAGCCCUCUGUGAUUGAUGCCCCCUCCGGCAGAGCUCCGGAACAGGCCCCAAGAUAGGAUAUCGUGGGUACAGAAGGUUGCGGUGGUGGAAUUAGGUUUUUUGGCUCCGUAUCUGAUCGUUUAGGGGUACGUAGGUAUAUAUAGGAGGAAGGAGUACGUCGGUGGAGCAACGUGGGGCCCACGAGGGUGGAGGGCGCGCCCAGGGGGGUAGGCGCGCCCCCCCUACCUCGUGGCUUCCUGGUAGCUUUCCUGACGUAGGGUCCAAGUCCUCUGGAUCAUGGUCGUUCCGAGAAUCACGUUCCCAAAGGUUUCAUUCCGGUUGGACUCCGUUUGAUAUUCUUUUUCUGCGAAACUGUGAAAUAGGCAAAAAACAGCAAUUCUGGGCUAGGCCUCCAGUUAAUAGGUUAGUCCCAAAAAUAAUAUAAAAGUGAAUAAUAAAGCCCAAUAAUGUCCAAAAUAGAAGAUAAUAUAGCAUGGAGCAAUCAAAAAUUAUAGAUACGUUGGAGACGUAUCAAUACGCUGCGCGGCAAAUCCGUAAAGGCCCCUGGAGAGCUCCAAAUUCGGGUAAGUAAAAGGAACGUUUCCUUCACAGACUUGCUUUGCAUAAUGAAAGCCUUACCCGCCACGAUCUUCUUGGCCGCCUGGAUUUCCUGGAGGGCGCUUUGGGCUUCGGCUCAGGCAUCUCGUGCGCUCUGGCGGGCCUUCGCAAGUUCGGACCCUUGCGUCUUAGAAUCAUGCUCCAAGGACUCAUACUUCUUGACGGCCUCCUGGAGCUCUUGCUGGACCUUGCUGACCCGGGCCUCGUGCUUCUCGCGCGCAGCGUGUUCCUUGGACGCUUUGUCCUUGGCCUCGGCUAACGCCUUCUUGAGGGCUGCCACGUCGGUCAUGGCCCCUAGUAAGGUUCAUGACACUCUAGUCAACACGAACCAUUCAUCCUUCCUAAGUAUACACACAGGUUACUGUAUACCUUGGCUGUCCUCCAGCUGCUUCUUCACGAGGCCGAGCUCUUCCUCGGCCCGCUCCAGGUCCUGCUUUAGUCCGGAGACCUCCGCAGUAUGAGCAGCAGCAGCCAGCAGCGACGCCUGCUUAUUCACAUAGACAUCUUAUGUUCGACUCCUGUGAAAAUUAUUUUGAUCCUCUAUUCGGCCUUUUCUUUCCGAAACACCAAACAGAGCAUCAGGGGCUACUGUCUACACUGUGAUAUUCUAUCUACAAUCACAUUACUUACCUCAAAGCCUGUUAAAAGGCUAGCGUAGGCCUCGGUCAGUCCGCUUUUGGCGGACCGAACCUUCUCGAUCACCGUACCCAUAAGGACACGGUGUUCAUCCACAAUGGAAGCGCCCCGCAGCGCUUCCAGCAGAUUAUCCGGUGCCUCUGGCUGGACAGAGGUCACCGGCAGAAUAGGCACACCUCCUCCUUUUGGGGAAGGCUGCUCGCUUGACUCCGGAGCCGUGUAGGUCUCCGGAAUGGUAUCCGGCUGGGGGCCAAAUUGAACUUGGUCCCCAUCACCAGUCCUCAUGGGGUUUUUUUCCCCCAUACGUCCGGCGGCCGAGGAGUCAUCCUUUGGCGCCACCCCGACGACCUCCGGAGCCUCUCCCUGACCUAGGAAGGUCCUUUGGGACACCACCUCGUCAUCACCCUUGGUCGAGGGAGAGUGAGCGGGCGGCGGCGACAUACUGGGCAUCUCCUUUGGAUCUAGCGAACCUCCUGUUGAGGAUCGCGGGGAGCUGUCGCGGGCCGGACUGCAAUGGCAUAAUUUAAGCAUAUUAAUAUUACAAAGUGGAAAGGCCAGACACUUGGACUUGCAUAAGGUUUUUACUACUUACGAGGCGGCUCGAGGCUUGGUCCGGGGCGGGCGCUCCGGACUGCUAUCGACAUCCCAUGCGGAGUUACCCGCGAGGGAGCCCUUCCCCCUCUUGGGCGCCUUCGCCUCCAGAUUUGUGGAGGUCGCCCUUUUCUUCCUUCCCCCUCAGGGGGGAGUCGCUUGCUUCCUCCUCCUCCUCGCCGUCUUCGGCGGACGAAGAGUGAGUCUCGUCUUCAGACGUCUUUCCGAGGCACCUUUUCGGCGAGGGCCACUGCUGGCCCCCUUGGCCGCUUUCUUCGCCUUCUUCUCCGGCAUCUCAUAGGGAGCCGGAAACAACAUCUUCGUCAGAAGUGGGAAUUCUUGGUCUUCGGGCAGCGGAGCCGGACAGUUAAUCCGUCCUGCUACCUCGAUCCAAGCCUGACGAAAUUGAUAGUAAGGCUUAGACUCCUUCCUCAAAACAUGCCAGUAAAGGGUAUACCUUGAAAACAUGAAAGAACUUACCGAAUUUUCGCCUGGCGCUUUAAGCUAAGCCCGCGAUCCUCGGUCGUGGGCGGUGGUGUCUCGCCAGCCUUGAAGAGCACUUUCCAGAUGUCUUCGUGCGUUGUGCCGAAGAGCCCUAGUAGCGUCUGGUGCUUGGCCGGGUCGAACUCCCACAAAUAGCAAGUCCGGCGUUGGCACGGAAGGAUCCGGCGAACGAGCAUAACCUGGAUCACGUUAACAAGCUUGAUUUUCUUGGUUAUCAUGUUCUGGAUGCACGUAUGGAGCCCAGUCAGCUCGUUCGAGGAACCCCAGGUUAGGCCCUUCUCUUGCCAAGAGGUGAGCCGCAUCGGAACUCCGGAUCGGAAUUCGGGGGCCGCCGCCCAGUUGGUGUCGCGCGGCUCGGUGAUGUAGAACCACCCUGACUGCCACCCCUUCACCGUCUCCGCAAAGGUGCCCUCGGGCCAGGUGACAUUGGGCAUCUUGCCCACCAUGGCGCCUCCGCACUCUGCUUGCUGGCCGCUCACCACCUUCGGCUUCACAUUGAAGGUCUUUAGCCAUAGGCCGAAGUGAGGUGGGAUGCGGAGAAAGGCCUCGCAAAUGACAAUAAAUGCCGAGAUGUUGAGGAUAAAGUUAGGGGCUAGAUCAUAGAAGUCUAGCCUGUAGUGAAACAUCAGUCCGCGGACGAACGGGUGGAGAGGGAAUCCCAGCCCGUGGACGAAAUGUGUGAGAAACACAACCCUCUCAUUGGGCUCUGAGGUAGGGACGAUCUAUCCCUUGGCCGGGAGUCGGUGAAUGAUCUCCUUGGCCAGGUAUCCAGCCUCCCGGAGCUCCUUGAUGUCCUUCUUCUUAACGGAGGAGGCCAUCCACUUGCCUCCAGCUCCGGAUUCGGACAUGAUUGGAGUGCUUUCUCGGAUGGGGGAAGCUAGAACUUGGGCAGUGGAGCUCAAGGAUGGAAGGGUAGAGAAAGAGAGAAGGCGUGGGUGAAGAAAGGGAAUCCUUAUCCCCUUAUAAAGGCAGUAAAUAUCAAACGCCUCCGCACUCGCCCUAAAACUCGCCUAUUCCCAGGGGCUGUGUAAACGGCACGGUUGGGUUACCCACGCCCGUAUUGAUGAGAAUCCCGCAAUAAGGGGACACGAUCUCUGCUUUGACAAGACGUGCCAAUGGCAACCGCGUCUCGAAACGUGGAGCGACAGACGAAAAACGGUUCAAAAUUACGACCGGGCAGACGUGAUGUCAUGUUGUAAAAAGUUGUCAGCGGAUUGGACUCGUGGAGUAUUAUAUUCUCUCUCUGCGAUUGUGUGUGGUGUGUGUUACAGGUCCGGAUACAACCGUUACUUCUGGAGACUAUUUUGGAGUUCGCAAAGGGGAACCCGCCUUGCAAUGCCGAAGACAAAUCUGCGCGCCGGACUCCUCGUCAUUGAAGCCAGGUUCAGGGGCUACUGAGGGAGUCCUGGACUAAGGGGUCCUCGGGCGUCCGGCCUGUUAACCAUGGGCCGGACUGAUGGGCUGUGAAGAUACGAAGGCCGAAGACUGCACCCCGUGUCCGGAUGGGACUCUCCUUGGAGUGGAAGGCAAGCUUGGCGACCGAAUAUGUAGAUUCCUUUCUUUGUAACUCACCUUGUGUAACCCUAGAUCCUCCCGAUGUCUAUAUAAACCGGAGAGCUUAGUCCGGAUGGAGAUAGACUCAUUACCAUAGUCAUACAGGCUAGACUUUUAGGGUUUAGCCAUUAUGAUCUCGUGGUAAAUCAACUCUUGUAAUACUCAUAUUCAUCAAGAUCAAUCAAGCAGGAAGUAGGGUAUUAACUCCAUAGAGAGGGCCCGAACCUGGGUAAACAUUGUGUUCCCUGUCUCUUGUUACCAUCGACCUUAGACGCACAGUUUGGGACCCCCUACUCGAGAUCCGCCGGUUUUGACACCGACAUAGACUCACUCAUACGCACAUACUCAUCCACUAGAUUGCCUGGAAUUUCAUAUGCAAGCAUGCGGAUGGCCGCGGUGCAUUUCUGGUAAGAGGAGAAUCCAAGCUUGCCAAGGGCAUCCGUCUUGCACUCAAAGUAUGUGUCAUGAGCAACCACUCCCUCUCGGAUACGAUUGAACACAUGCCUUCCCAUAUGAAAACGGCGACAUAAUUUAUCCGGCUUGAAGAGCGGGGUGUUCGCAAAGUAAUCGGCAUAGAGCAGGGCAUGGCCUCUCUCCCUGUUGCGGUUCAGGUUGGGAGCACGGCCAGGGAGUGACCCCCUGUACCGAGGAAGCUGUCGUUCAAUGUGGUCGUGAACGACCAGUGCAGCCACCACAAGAUCUUCAUCAUCCAAGGACGAAUCAUCCGAUGAAUAAAUGAAGUGGUGGAAGAAAAAUUCAUCUCCACUGUCCAUACCUUUGUGGGCAAAGUGUCAAACACCUUGCGGUCGUGGUGGCACAGAGGCCGCGAUGAUCACCUCGAUGCAGCAGGGGUGGUUGGCGGCCGGCUACUGGCGGGUCUGGAGCACUCGUCGGAAGCUGCCGUGGCCGCCGUGGUCCAUAAACGUCGCCGGCUGUCGUAUCCCCUCUGCCACCGGCUACGACUGCGACGGCCAAAACUCCUACGUAAGCGUGGGCGUGGUAGCGGGCAUGUCGAGACGUGGUUUGGUAUGGACGGCCGGAGGAUGAGCAGUGAGGAGCCGGCCGGAGAAAAGUGAUGGCGCCGGCGGCGGGGUGGGGCGGGAGAGAGCGGGUGGAGGCGCUGAAAGCGAAGGGACUGCUAGUGUCCCCGACAGGCGGGCCACGGCGGGACAAGGGCGUGCGUCGAGGCCGUCCACGCGAUGUCCGUUUCACCCCAAACUCGGCGCAAGUUUGGGCCGGGAAUGAGUCAAAAACGGACGAAAUCCGGACAUUUGUCCGUUUGGGGCCGCGCGUUGGGCCGCACUAUUCGUCCGUUUUACCCAAAAUGGACGCACCCGAACAAAAUGGGGUCGCGCGCUAGAGUUGGCCUUAGUAUCGUGCGGCAUUGUGCGCUGCCGCGCACGCACAAGGAUGUGCGUGGUUUGGGGACCCAGGAUCUCUCGUGCUCUAGAUUACGGGGCUUUGCUGUCGGUCAGGAUUGUCAUUUUGUGAAAUCAGAUUUUCUUGCAGGGGGCUGAAUGCAAGCUGCGAGCAGAAUGCGCUUGUUGUCAGUUACUAACCAGUUAACCUGGAUAUGACACUGAUAGCAGCCGCAUACACUUGGGGCACCGUCUCACUCUACUAGCAAGAGACAGAUCGACAUCAUACAACUUUAUAUACGACAAAUUCAAGUCCAAGCUCACUGCUUACAAAGCCAACAUGCUCUCUCGUGCAGCAAGAUCAACACUUAUUAAAUACUCUCUCCGUAUCAAAAGAAGUGACUUAAGUUUGUACUAACUUUAGGGAGUAUGUCUUUUCCUCAAUCCCUGUCUACCAUAUGUCAAAUAUCAUCUUUUCAAAGUUCUUAGCAAAACUCAUAGCUAUCAUUAGAAACUUUUGGUGGACAGGUAUGAAAAAAGAACCAUCUACAAAGAUACUAUGCUUAAGGGCAUGGGCAAACAUUUGCAUAGAAAAAAGGAUCGGUGGUUUAGGUGUUAGGACCUUACGUGCUAUUAACCAAGGUCUAAUUCUUUCGAUGGCCUGGAGAUUAGCAAAGGAACCCAGAGUCAUCUUGCUCUCAUUCUCAGAUCGAAGUACCACAACAACACAUCCAUUUGGAGGGCGAAGCAAAACAUAUCAAAAUCUGCCACCUGCUAAGCAAUUCUCAAGGUAAGACCAAUGUUAAUAUCAUCCUCUUUUUCCCAAAUUGUUGAUGGCAGUAGCUCCAUUUGGAGUUCACUGUGGUUCUCUCAAUGUCAAACUAUUUAUGAUAAUUUGACCAUUCAACAACCUCCUUAUGUUUACCUGGCUAUAGUUAAUGACCUUUGGCUCUCAAUCAGAAAACUUGAAAUGUUCAACUUGUCAACUCUUUGUUUACUUCUCAAACUGCUAAUGUUAUACUGCAAACCCCUAUCAUUAAUGCUCGUGGACGUUCUAGUUUGGAAAUUAAGCCCUGCAGGUGGUUUCUCUUAGAAAAGUACAUAUAAACACUGCUUUAAUAAUCUAACACUAUCGGCAAACUAGAGGCCGAAAUCUGUUCCACCACAGGUUGUUGAUCUUCUCAAUCAGGUCUGGAGGGAGAAACUCAUGGCGCCAAUGGUCCAAACAUUUGUCUGGAGACUUCUUCGUCGAGCUAUUCCAACUGGUAAGAAUGCAAAUAGGUUUUCCAAACAUAUUAGUGAAAAUUGUGCAAGAUGUGGCAACAUAGAGGAUGAAAUGCACAUACUUUUCUUUGCCCUUUCUCAAAAGCUUCUUGGGUUUCCUCUCCUUGGUAUAUUAAAACUGAGGUACUUGCUGAAAAUAACCAUUCAACUCCACAAAUGUUAAAGGCUUCGCUAGUUUUUGCCCAUCCUCAUAUUAAUAUAACCAGUCUAUAUACUUUCUUGUGGUGCCUUUGGAAGGCAAGAAAUGAUGCUUUGUUUGGUAGAAAGUUUUGCAAGCCAUCGCAUGUAUAUCCGACGGCUAAUGCGAUCAUGCAAGGGUCAAAGCUAGAAGAGAUGGUGGCAUCCCAGGAUCAGCACGAAACAACCCCUGAUGUUCAACAGCUAAUAACCCAGCAAGAACACCCUUGGUUACGUGUCCAGGAAUUUCCUGUGAUGCGGCCUGGAAAAAUGAAGAAAAUAUGCAAUCAUCUCCUGCAGGCAUUGGUGUUAUAUCCAACUUGGAGACAAUGAACAUUGUCAGCAGCUGCAUGUUUCGGCUCUUUCUCCUCUGGUGUCAUCUCCCCUCUAGGCCGAAGCAUAUGGACUUCUCCAAGCCAAGAAGCUAGCAAAUACUCUUCACAUCCACGAUCCACACUACUACGCAGAUUGCUCUGCUCUGACGUCGGCAGCAGCUACGACUUCCAUCUUCAAAGACGUAGGACAUUGGGACAUAAGGCCCAUUCUUGGGACGUGGAGUAUUUGCUCCCGAGCUCAAAUGCUCCCUAAUGAACAGUAAAAUUGGAAAAAAAUAGUAAAAAAAUUCAAAAUUCUGAUUUUUUGUGUGAUAAACUUUAGCAAAUGUUUUGUAUGCUUGUAAAAUUUCAGCACGAAAUAACAUUCUUGGAAGUCGUGGAAAAGAACAAAAUGGAUGUUCCAAAAAUGCUAGUUUUCAAAGCAUUUUGGAGUGUUGAUUUUUUGCCACGCCUUCCACGAAUGUCAUUUCGUGCUGAAAUUUUGCAAGCAUACAAAACAUAUGUAGAAAUUCACCACAAAAAAAUUCGGUUGACGCCCGGAUAAUUAGGCUACAGUAAUCCCACGUUAAUGAUGCCACGUCACCUCGAUUACCGCUGCUAAUCUCGCGUUAGUUCGAAACCAGUUCGAAUUCAAAUUCAGAAUCAAGAAAGCAAUAAAAUAUUUUCAAAUAUUAAAACUAAAAUGUUGGGGUAUUGCCAAAUAAUGCAUAGGUAAUUAUUGUGGAGAAACCACAAUUUUAUAAAAGGUUUAAGUGCACUAAAAUAUUUAAAACAGCAGCAAAACAUUUAACUAACUACCCUUUUCAAAUUGAUAAAAUAUUAAACUAUUUUGUUUUAGUUGCGGAGCUAAUUGUGGUAGUGGCAUAAUUAUUAAUGCUCUUUUAGGUACAACUUUUGUAUUCUAUAAAAGCUAAAAUUUAAUAAAAUAGAAAGGAAAAUUAAAUAAAAAGAGAAAGACAAAACAAAAAAAGGAAAAAAAAA
rnacentral:lncRNA from 1 species